UCUCGGGGUUACAGCCUUGCUGAAUUAUUCACCCUUGUCUUUUGCGUACUUCUUGUUUCCUUGGUGGGUUCGCCCACCACUAGGACAAACAUAAACCUUUUGUAAUUGCAAUCAGCGUCAGUAACAAAUUAAUAAUUACAACUUUCAACAACGGAUCUCUUGGUUCUGGCAUCGAUGAAGAACGCAGCGAAAUGCGAUAAGUAGUGUGAAUUGCAGAAUUCAGUGAAUCAUCGAAUCUUUGAACGCACAUUGCGCCCUUUGGUAUUCCAAAGGGCAUGCCUGUUCGAGCGUCAUUUGUACCCUCAAGCUUUGCUUGGUGUUGGGCGUCUUGUCUCUAGCUUUGCUGGAGACUCGCCUUAAAGUAAUUGGCAGCCGGCCUACUGGUUUCGGAGCGCAGCACAAGUCGCACUCUCUAUCAGCAAAGGUCUAGCAUCCAUUAAGCCUUUUUUUCAACUUCGGCGAGUGAAGCGGCAACAGCUCAAAUUUGAAAUCUGGCUCUUUUAGAGUCCGAGUUGUAAUUUGCAGAGGGCGCUUUGGCUUUGGCAGCGGUCCAAGUUCCUUGGAACAGGACGUCACAGAGGGUGAGAAUCCCGUACGUGGUCGCUGGCUAUUGCCGUGUAAAGCCCCUUCGACGAGUCGAGUUGUUUGGGAAUGCAGCUCUAAAUGGGAGGUACAUUUCUUCUAAAGCUAAAUAUUGGCCAGAGACCGAUAGCGCACAAGUAGAGUGAUCGAAAGAUGAAAAGCACUUUGGAAAGAGAGUCAAACAGCACGUGAAAUUGUUGAAAGGGAAGCGCUUGCAGCCAGACUUGCUUACAGUUGCUCAUCCGGGUUUCUAUCCGGUGCACUCUUCUGUAGGCAGGCCAGCAUCAGUUUGGGCGGUAGGAUAAAGGUCUCUGUCACGUACCUCCUUUCGGGGAGGCCUUAUAGGGGAGACGACAUACUACCAGCCUGGACUGAGGUCCGCGCAUCUGCUAGGAUGCUGGCGUAAUGGCUGUAAGCGGCCCGUCUUGAAACACGGACCAAGGAGUCUAACAUCUAUGCGAGUGUUUGGGUGUCAAGCCCGAGCGCGUAAUGAAAGUGAACGGAGGUGGGAACCCGCAAGGGUGCACCAUCGACCGAUCCUGAUGUCUUCGGAAGGAUUUGAGUAAGAGCAUG
rnacentral:sRNA from 1 species